rnacentral:rRNA from 1 species
UACGGAGGGUGCGAGCGUUGUCCGGAAUCAUUGGGCGUAAAGGGCGCGUAGGUGGCCCGGCAAGCGUGCGGUGAAAGCUCGGGGCUCAACCCCGAGUCGGCCGUGCGAACUGCUGGGCUCGAGCACUGUAGAGGCAGGCGGAAUUCCGGGUGUAGCGGUGGAAUGCGUAGAGAUCCGGAAGAACACCGGUGGCGAAGGCGGCCUGCUGGGCAGUGGCUGACACUGAGGCGCGGACAGCGUGGGGAGCAAACAGG